UAGCAACUAAAGUGUUUCAGGACAUCAAC
rnacentral:piRNA from 1 species